rnacentral:lncRNA from 1 species
AUGGUUUGGCAGAAUAUCUCUUUGGAAAUUGGUGAAGAUAGGGGUUGUGGAAAAGGAAAGUGGUAUAAAGUAAAUGACACAGUGACAGAAGAAUUCGACCUAAAUAAUGAGAUUCCGGAGUGCGAAUGCUUUGGUGAAGAAUAUAGACCAAAAUUUUAUGAUCAAGGGAGGUCUGAUGAGAACGCCGGGGGUCACCAAAGAAGACUCAAGUUAGCUGUGUACAGCAGGAAGCCGAGGACUUCUCACUCCAUGGACUCCUGGAGAGAUGCCUUGGAGGGAACCUGCGAAAAGAUACCAGCAAGAAACAACUCGGAGUUUCAGAUUACUUCCAACCAGGACAGCCUACAAGAUAGCAGUACAAUCGGGAGAAUUGGGCAAUGUAAUUAUAGUAUGGAAAUGAUGCUGAUCACUCAAGCAGAGUGUAGACCUUGAAUCUAAAACCUUGCUCUGUCUUCCCACCCAUUUUCCAUGGCUCGCACUUGAAGCUGUAGCCACCACACCCAGGAAACUGGAGGUAAGCUCACUCCUACUUGGAAGCUAGAAGGUGGUCAAGUCCCUGUGUAGGGUGUAAUAAGGUGUGGGGCAAGGGAUCAG